GAUGAACGCUGGCGGCGUGCCUAAUACAUGCAAGUCGAGCGAAAAGACGCGGAGCUUGCUCCUCUGACGUUAGCGGCGGACGGGUGAGUCACGCGUGUAUCCCCUACCUGUAAGUCUGGGAUCACUUGGGGAAACCGGAGCUAAUACCGGAUAAUAUAUUGAACCGCGUGGUUCAAUAGUGAAAGACGGUUUUUGUGUCAGUUAUAGCUGGUUACGGGCCGCAUUAGCUAGUUGGUGAGGUCCCGGCUUACCACGGCAACGAGGCGUAUCCGACCUGAGAGAGUGAUCGGCCACACGGGAACUGAGACAGGGACCAGACUCCUACGGGAGGCAGCAGUAGGGAAUCUUCCGCAAUGGGCGAAAGCCUGACGGAGCAACGCCGCGUGAGUGAUGAAGGUCUUCGGAUCGUAAAACUCUGUUAUGAGGGAAGAACAAAUGUGGAAGUAACUAUGCACGUCGUGACGGUACCGAAUCAGAAAGCCACGGCUAACUACGUG
rnacentral:rRNA from 1 species